rnacentral:rRNA from 1 species
UACGAAGGGGGCUAGCGUUGCUCGGAAUCACUGGGCGUAAAGGGUGCGUAGGCGGCGCGGUAAGUCGGGUGUGAAAUCUCGGAGCUUAACUCCGAAACUGCAUUCGAUACUGCCGUGCUUGAGGACUGGAGAGGAGACUGGAAUUCAUGGUGUAGCAGUGAAAUGCGUAGAGAUCAUGAGGAAGACCAGUGGCGAAGGCGGGUCUCUGGACGAGUUCCUGACAC